rnacentral:lncRNA from 1 species
UGUCUGACCAGAUGAUAUUCUCUGAACAGAUAGUAUUAACUAGAUCUCCAAUGCAGAAAAUUAACCUGAGAAGUAAUGGCAAGCCCUCCUGCUAUCACCCCCCUUGAGCCCACCUGUCCUACAGAGGUGUCCAUGCCAGCUGACUCCACCAAGACUGACCCUCUGCCAUCCUCUCCUGAGUGCUGAGUAAGAAGGUCAUUCUCUACUUAUUUAGUUUAUGAGGUUCUGUGACUUUUGUGUUGUUUGUAAUAAUGACAUAAUAAUACUUAGCACUUAUACAACUUUUCAUCUUCAAAGUGUUUUCUGAACAUUUACUAAUUAAUUUUACAUUAGUAAAACAUGAGCUGUGUAUAUGUCACUCCAUAAAUAAUAAAUAAUCAUAUGACCCA